ACGCGAAGAAACCUUACCCAGGCUUGACAUGCAGAGGACAAUAUCAGACAUGAUAUCUCCCUUCGGGGCCUCUGCACAGGUGCUGCAUGGCUGUCGUCAGCUCGUGCCGUGAGGUGUUGGGUUAAGUCCCGCAACGAGCGCAACCCUUAUCAUUAGUUGCCAACACGUGAAGGUGGGAACUCUAAUGAGACUGCCUGGGUUAACCAGGAGGAAGGUGAGGAUGACGUCAAGUCCGCAUGGCCCUUAUGUCUGGGGCUACACACGUGCUACAAUGGUCGGUACAGAAGGCAGCGAAACCGCGAGGUGAAGCAAAUCCAGAAAGCCGAUCUCAGUUCAGAUUGUAGUCUGCAACUCGACUACAUGAAGACGGAAUUGCUAGUAAUGGCGAGUCAGCAACAUCGCCGUGAAUACGUUCCCGGGUCUUGUACACACCG
rnacentral:rRNA from 1 species